rnacentral:rRNA from 1 species
UACGUAGGGCGCAAGCGUUGUCCGGAAUUAUUGGGCGUAAAGAGCUCGUAGGCGGUCUGUCGCGUCCGUUGUGAAAACUCGAGGCUCAACCUCGGGCUUGCAGUGGAUACGGGCAGACUAGAGUGCGGUAGGGGAGACUGGAAUUCCUGGUGUAGCGGUGAAAUGCGUAGAUAUCUGGAGGAACACCGGUGGCGAAGGCGGCAUCCUGGACCGAUAUUGACGCUGAUGCGCGAAAGCCAGGGGAGCAAACGGGG